CAUGUAGGCGGUUAGGUAAGUCUGAUGUGAAAUCCCGGGGCUCAACCCCGGACGUGCAUUAAAUACUACUAGACUAGAGUACAGGAGGGGUGAGCGGAAUUCCAGGUGUAGAGGUGAAAUUCGUAGAUAUCUGGAGGAACAACGGAGGCGAAGGCGGCUCACUGGACUGUAACUGACGCUGAGAUACGGAAGUGUGGGGAGCGAACG
rnacentral:rRNA from 1 species